GAGUUUGAUCUUGGCUCAGGAUGAACGCUGGCGGCGUGCCUAAGACAUGCAAGUCGAGGGGGUUUAGACCCCCGGCGAACGGGUGAGUAACACGUGGGAACUUCCAUUAAGUUUGGGAUAUCCUCCCGAAAGGGAGAGCAAUACCAAAUGUGGUCGCAAGACUAAAGCCGCAAGGCGCUUAAUGCAAGGCCCGCGUCCCAUCAGCUAGUUGGUAGGGUAAUGGCCUACCAAGGCGAUGACGGGUAGCGGAAACGAGAGCUUGAUCCGCCACACUGGGACUGCGACACGGCCCAGACUCCUACGGGAGGCAGCAGUUUGGAAUUUUGGACAAUGGACGAAAGUCUGAUCCAGCGACGCCGCGUGCACGAUGAAGGCCUUCGGGUCGUAAAGUGCUUUUGGUGGGGAAAAAUUUUUGAUUGUACCCACAGAAUAAGAGGUUGCUAACUCUGUGGCAGCCGCCGCGGUAAC
rnacentral:rRNA from 1 species